ACAUAAUUUAAUCGCACGUGGUAUGCUACUUAUGAUCUACGACAAGAUCAUGAUAGAAUAUUAGGAUUGUUAGAAACAAAAAACAAAAGACACUAGCAGCAGCCAUUUUCAUAUUCGUCGUUUCCUUUGGCCCACAACCGAUGCGAUACGUCGAUAAGUGUCACGUGAUCUGCAGCGAUAGCAGCUCUAGCACAACUAAAGCAUUGCGGUCAAGAUUGGACAUUAUUCAAAUGUCAAAAUCUUUCUCACCUUUUUAACAAUAGCGUGCACAUUAUAUCCAACAAAAAUGUUCCUCCAUAAGUUGAAGCAAGAAACACUCAUCUUUCUGAAUAAGGAUCAGACUGCCAUAAUCAAUCAUCUGUACAAACAUUCUAGACUUAUAUGCGCCUUAGAAAUUCCAUUAAACCCGGAUUGGAAAACG